rfam:Chelonia mydas contig217210, whole genome shotgun sequence.
UGGAGCAUAGCUCAGUGGUAGUGCAUUUGACUACAGUUCAAGUGGUCCCUGGUUCAAAUCCAGGUACUCCCU